CACGUAGGCACCAAGCGUUGUCCGGAUUUAUUGGGCGUAAAGAGCUCGUAGGCGGUUGAGUAAGUCGGGUGUGAAAACUCUGGGCUUAACCCAGAGCCGCCACUCGAUACUGCUAUAGCUAGAGUCCAGUAGGGGAGUGUGGAAUUCCCAGUGUAGCGGUGAAAUGCGCAGAUAUUGGGAGGAACACCAGCGGCGAAGGCGGCACUCUGGGCUGGUACUGACGCUGAGGAGCGAAAGCGUGGGUAGCGAACAGG
rnacentral:rRNA from 1 species